rnacentral:lncRNA from 1 species
AUGACAAAAGCAAACAGAGGCUCUGGUAGCAGUCUACUGUCAUCAGCCAUCAGUGUGGUCCAGAAGGACAAGGAAGGACACUACUCAUGGGGGAUCAGAGCUGCUCCUGGACGGGCUGAUGGAGUCAUGGGAAAGAAGCAGGCUGUACAGACUUCUCCCCCCCCCCCCAAACCAAUCCACAGUUGUUACCUUCAUUCAAAAGUAAAGUGGAAGUAGAGUAUUGAGUUACUGGAAAAAAGUCUGCAUUGGGCAUUGAGUUGACUGUAGUUCUUUUAAAAAUUUGUAUAUUUAAACAAUUUUGAAUAUUUGAAUAAGAUGAACAUUUCCAAACACAAAACAGUCCAGAAAAGGAAGAUUGCACAUGCAGCCAUGAAUCUGGUAUAGCCUGCAUCUCUCCCAACCACACAACAAAUUCAAUAUGUUAUUUUCAAAUCUGUCUCACUUGCCUAUUUCCUACUGACCUUCCUUCUGUUCUCUUCUGUGUGUUUAAAAAGAAUUGCUCAUCCUUCUUACUUUUUUUCCUUUUUCAUUUUGGUAACAACACUCCUAUUCCCUUUAAUUCCCUCCUCCUCCAAAUGAAGAGAAAGGGGAAAAAAAAAAAGAUCUUUUGUCAAAUAGGUGGAGUUGAGCAAAGUAAAUACUCACGUUGGUCUUGUUAGGAGGUAUUUGUCUCAUUCUGCUCCUUGAGUUCAUCAUCUUAUUAACAUCUGGUAGGUUGCAUGACUGGUCAUUGAAUUAAUUGAUCAGAAAUCUUAAGGCCUGUUUAGUUGUUUUUCUUAAGAUGUUUUUAUGGUGUAAGUUGUUCUCCAGGUUCUGCUCACUUCACAUAAGUUUGUACAAGUCUUUCCAGGUAUAUCAGAAACCAUCCCUUUCAUCUCUUUUAUUCUAUAUUAAUAUUCCUUUACAUUCUUAUACCAUAAUUUGUUCUGCCAUUCUCUAAGAGAUGACUAUCUCUUUAGUUUCCAGUUUGAAAAGUUGCUAUCAAUAUUUUUGUACCUAUGGAUUCUCUUUAUCAUAGACCUAGUAAUGGCAUUGUUGGGACAAAAGGGUAUAUACAGUUUAAUGACUUUUUAAAAUUAUGAAUUUCAAAUUUCUCUGCAGAAUGGCUAGGCCAAUCCAUAGCUUCACCAAUAGAAUAUUAGCAUCCCUAUUUGUCAAUAGCCACUCCUCGAUUGUGAUUUUCCUUUUUUUCUAACUGUUGCCAAUUUCAUGCUUUUGAGGUGGAACUCCAGAGGUGAUUUAUUAAAUUUCUCUAAUCAUUUGCAAGUGCUUUUCCUCUGAGAUGAUCUUCUGAGAUGAAUAACAGAUUUAUUCUAUUCUUAGCUUUUUUUGUAUAUAACUGUUUUCAUGCCACACUCAAUAGACUAUGAGUUCCAUGAGAGAAGAGAUUGUUCUUUAUUUUUUUUUUGCAUCCCUAGAAUUUAGUAGAGUAUUUAAUAAAUUCCUGUUCAUUUGAUUUGGACCA